CCCGGCUCAUGGAUGGGGCCUGCGGUGCAUUAGCAGUUGGUGAGAUAGUAGCUCACCAAGGCGACGAUACAUAGCCGACCUGAGAGGGGUGAUCGGCCACACUGGGACUGAGACACGGCCCAGACUCCUACGGGAGGCCAGCAGUAGGGAAUCUUCGGCAAUGGGGGCAACCCUGACCGAGCAACGCCGCGUGAGUGAAGAAGGUUUUCGGAUCGUAAAGCUCUGUUGUAAGUCAAGAACGGGUGUGAGAGUGGAAAGUUCACACUGUGACGGUAGCUUACCAGAAAGGGACGGCUAACUACGUGCCAGCAGCCGCGGUAAUACGUAGGUCCCGAGCGUUGUCCGGGAUUUACUUGGGCGUAAAGCGAGCCGCAGGCGGAAGAAUAAGUCUGAUGUGAAAGCCCUCGGCUUAACCGAGGAACUGCAUCGGAAACUGUUUUUCUUGAGUGCAGAAGAGGAGAGUGGAAUUCCAUGUGUAGCGGUGGAAUGCGUAGAUAUAUGGAAGAACACCAGUGGCGAACGGCACUCUCU
rnacentral:rRNA from 1 species